rnacentral:rRNA from 1 species
CACCNGUGGCGAAGGCGACUUUCUGGACGAAAACUGACGCUGAGGCGCGAAAGCCAGGGGAGCGAACGGGAUUAGAUACCCCGGUAGUCCUGGUCGUAAACGUUGGGUACUAGGUGUAGGAGGUAUCGACCCCUUCUGUGCCGGAGUUAACGCAAUAAGUACCCCGCCUGGGGAGUACGACCGCAAGGUUGAAACUCAAAGGAAUUGACGGGGGCCCGCACAAGCGGUGGAGUAUGUGGUUUAAUUCGACGCAACGCGAAGAACCUUACCAGGUCUUGACAUUGAUGGACAGAACCAGAGAUGGUUCCUCUUCUUCGGAAGCCAGAAAACAGGUGGUGCACGGUUGUCGUCAGCUCGUGUCGUGAGAUGUUGGGUUAAGUCCCGCAACGAGCGCAACCCCUAUCUUAUGUUGCCAGCACUUUGGGUGGGGACUCAUGAGAGACUGCCGCAGACAAUGCGGAGGAAGGCGGGGAUGACGUCAAAUCAUCACGCCCCUUAUGACCUGGGCUACACACGUACUACAAUGGGAGUAAAUAGACGGAAGCGAGAUCGCGAGAUGGAGCAAACCCGAGAAACACUCUCUCAGUUCGGAUCGUAGGCUGCAACUCGCCUGCGUGAAGUCGGAAUCGCUAGUAAUCGCAGGUCAGCAUACUGCGGUGAAUACGUUCCCGGGCCUUGUACACGCCGCCCGUCACACCACGAAAGUCGGAAGUGCCCAAAGCCNGUGGGGUAACCUUC